UACAAACAUUUACAAAUGACAGCCAUUGAAAUGAUGACAGCACAGCUGCAACACCGCAGUCAGUAACAUCAGUAACGUUUGAGGUUAUCUUCUUCUUCUUGUUGGCCUCAACCAAGAUACCUAAAACAUAUGGUAUACCGACUGCCUAUCUUUCCUUAAUAAAAAAAAUUGGUCAAAAAACUUAUAUUUUGGUCAAGCACAUUAAAUUUUGUGUAACGUCAAACUAAAACAAAGGUUAUGUUAUUUUGGAGUUAUAAGAUUAGAAGGAAGCGAAGGAAGUAAUAACGUUUGACGUUAUAUAUUUAUUACGAUUAUUAAUACAGACGACAGUUUGUUAGAUUUUCUGUUAUUUGAUGUUAUGAUUUAAUUGAUCUGAUAAAAAUGGAUACAAAAAAGUACGGAGUCAGCUUAUCGGCUCUAAAAAGUUUACAAGAUUUCCAGCGUUCGCUCUUGAAUAAGAAACGAAAAAAAUUAAUUAGAAUGCCUUUUGCAGUUGAAUGUUUGGUUUCCUUCAAUGAUGGAGAACCGUAUCGUUGCGGUAUAGUAGCAGACUCGGGACUUGUGUCUUCUGAAUUAUUUGGUGUGAUUUAUUUGAAAAAUCGGGUUGCAUCCAGUACUGAAACUGAUACUACUGUGGUAUUUGAGGGUAAAGGGCCAUUACUUAAAAUGUCUAUACGAUUUGAUAGUAAAGACGACAAGGAUGCUUUUAUGACCAGCAUUCAAAAUGUUCUAAGCUCGGAUUCAGAUAGUGGCGAUAGUGUAUUACAGUAGUGUAUUAUUUGUUAUACAUUGAUUUGGCUGAAUAAAUAAUUUUUUCUUCUCCGUCAACUAAAUUUUACAAAAUGUGAAGUGAAACAGUUCCGAUUUCGCGUCCGAUAUGAAACUGUUUGGCCCAAUUAGGAGGAAAAAGCCCGAUUGUUCGAAUGGAAUUUGAUCCCUCGAUACUCCUGAUACACCGGAAAAUUUCGGAGAUAAUUUAAUCGAACACAGACGAGGGAAUUGUUAACGGUUGUUGUAUGACUCAGUGUGCGAUUAAUUCAUUGCUUGAAUAAGCCAUCACUAAAUUAAAUCGAACUCUUCCGAGCAAAAUAGAAUAAAUCAAUCAAGUUUGUUUCAAAGCGGAAUGAUAAAACGAACUUAUUACUUUUACAAAUACGGUGCUUAUGCAACAACACGAACACUCGCUCCACUGAUUGAAAAAUACCAAAGGACUUUGCCCCCAAAUUUAUUUAAAGUCGCACAGUGUUUUCCAAAAAUAUUUGUAUUUAUCCCUCUGAACACAAGUCUUGCCGUGUUUGUUUUAUU